GAUGAACGCUAGCUACAGGCUUAACACAUGCAAGUCGAGGGGUAGCAGGGUAGCAAUACCGCUGACGACCGGCGCACGGGUGAGUAACACGUAUCCAACCUUCCCAUAACUCGGGGAUAGCCUUUCGCAAGAAAGAUUAAUACCCGAUAGUACUUAUAUAGGGCAUCCUACAUAAGUUAAAGAUUUAUUGGUUAUGGAUGGGGAUGCGUUCCAUUAGAUAGUUGGUGAGGUAACGGCUCACCAAGUCUUCGAUGGAUAGGGGUUCUGAGAGGAAGGUCCCCCACAUUGGUACUGAGACACGGACCAAACUCCUACGGGAGGCAGCAGUGAGGAAUAUUGGUCAAUGGGCGAGAGCCUGAACCAGCCAAGUAGCGUGAAGGAUGAAGGUCCUAUGGACUGUAAACUUCUUUUAUAGUAGAAUAAAGUGAGCCACGUGUGGUUUUUUGUAUGUAUACUAUGAAUAAGGAUCGGCUAACUCCGUGCCAGCCGCCGCUGUAACAC
rnacentral:rRNA from 1 species